rnacentral:piRNA from 1 species
AAUCUGAACCGAAAGAGCAGACAGCAG